rnacentral:tRNA from 2 species
GGACCUGUAGCUCAGUUGGUUAGAGUACCUGCCUGUCACGCAGGGUGUCGCGAGUUCGAGUCUCGUCAGGUCCG